rnacentral:rRNA from 1 species
GAUGAACGCUAGCGGCAGGCUUAACACAUGCAAGUCGAGGGGCAGCGGGAUGUAGCAAUACAUUGCCGGCGACCGGCGCAAGGGUGCGUAACGCGUGAGCAACAUGCCCGUCACAGGAGGAUAAACCAUGGAAACGUGGCCUAAUACUCCAUAGUAUAUCAGAGAGGCAUCUUUUUGAUAUUAAAGCUUCGGUGGUGACGGAUUGGCUCGCGUGACAUUAGCUAGAUGGAGAGGUAACGGCUCACCAUGGCGACGAUGUCUAGGGGAACUGAGAGGUUAAUCCCCCACACUGGUACUGAGACACGGACCAGACUCCUACGGGAGGCAGCAGUGAGGAAUAUUGGACAAUGGAUGGAAAUCUGAUCCAGCCAUGCCGCGUGCAGGAUGACGGCCCUAUGGGUCUUAAACUGCUUUUGUAUGGGAGCAAUAAGUCUUACGUGUAAGAUGAUGAGAGUACCAUACGAAUAAGCAUCGGCUAACUCCGUGCCAGCAGCCGCGGUAAUACGGAGGAUGCAAGCGUUAUCCGGAUUUAUUGGGUUUAAAGGGUGCGUAGGCGGUUUUGUAAGUCAGUGGUGAAAUCUCCGGGCUCAACCCGGAACGUGCCAUUGAUACUGCAGGACUGGAAUGUGGAUGCCGUUUGCGGAAUGUGUGGUGUAGCGGUGAAAUGCAUAGAUAUCUCACAGAACACCGAUCGCGACGCAGCAGACGAAUCCAUGAUUGACGCUGAGCACGAAAGUGUGGGGAUCAAACAGGAUUAGAUACCCUGGUAGUCCACACAGUAAACGAUGAUGACUCGCUGUCGGCGAUAUACAGUCGGUGGUCAAGAGAAAUCGAUAAGUCAUCCACCUGGGGAGUACGACCGCAAGGUUGAAACUCAAAGGAAUUGACGGGGGCCCGCACAAGCGGAGGAACAUGUGGUUUAAUUCGAUGAUACGCGAGGAACCUUACCCGGGCUCGAACGGCUGGUGAACGACUAAGAGAUUAGAAGGUCCUACGGGACGCCAGUCGAGGUGCUGCAUGGUUGUCGUCAGCUCGUGCCGUGAGGUGUCGGCUUAAGUGCCAUAACGAGCGCAACCCUUGCUGAUAGUUACCAUCAGGUAAUGCUGGGGACUCUAUCAGGACUGCCGCCGUAAGGUGAGAGGAAGGGGGGGAUGACGUCAAAUCAGCACGGCCCUUACGUCCGGGGCGACACACGUGUUACAAUGGCAGGUACAGAGGGCGGCCAGGCAGCGAUGCCGCGCAAAUCUCGAAAGCCUGUCUCAGUUCGGAUUGGAGUCUGCAACUCGACUCCAUGAAGUUGGAUUCGCUAGUAAUCGCGCAUCAGCCAUGGCGCGGUGAAUACGUUCCCGGGCCUUGUACACACCGCCCGUCAAGCCAUGGAAGCUGGGGGUGCCUGAAGUUCGUGACCGCGAGGAGCGACCUAGGGCAAAACUGGUAACUGGGGCU